CAGCAGCCGCGGUAAUACGUAGGGUGCGAGCGUUAAUCGGAAUUACUGGGCGUAAAGCGUGCGCAGGCAGUGAUGUAAGACAGGUGUGAAAUCCCCGGGCUUAACCUGGGAACUGCAUUUGUGACUGCAUCGCUGGAGUGCGGCAGAGGGGGAUGGAAUUCCGCGUGUAGCAGUGAAAUGCGUAGAUAUGCGGAGGAACACCGAUGGCGAAGGCAAUCCCCCUGGGCCUGCACUGACGCUCAUGCACGAAAGCGUGGGGAGCAAACAGGAUUAGAUAGCCCUGGUAGUCCACGCCCUAAAGCGAUGUCAACUGGUUGUUGGGUCCUUCACCUGACUCCAGUAAUCGAAGCUAAGCGCGUGAAGUUGANCCGCCUGGGGAGUANCGGCCUCGCCAAGGGUUGAAAUCUUAAACGGA
rnacentral:rRNA from 1 species